UACAGAGGGGGCAAGCGUUGUUCGGAAUUACUGGGCGUAAAGGGCGCGUAGGCGGCCUGCUAAGUCGAACGUGAAAUCCCCGAGCUCAACUCGGGAACUGCGUCCGAUACUGGCAGGCUUGAAUCCGGGAGAGGGAUGCGGAAUUCCAGGUGUAGCGGUGAAAUGCGUGGAUAUCUGGAGGAACACCGGUGGCGAAGGCGGCAUCCUGGACCGGCAUUGACGCUGAGGCGCGAAAGCCAGGGGAGCAAACGGG
rnacentral:rRNA from 1 species